UGAUAAGGUGUUAUAAUAAGCAGGUGUCU
rnacentral:piRNA from 1 species